rnacentral:rRNA from 1 species
UACGUAGGUGGCAAGCGUUGUCCGGAUUUACUGGGCGUAAAGAGCGCGCAGGCGGUCGGAUUAGUCGCGUGUGAAAGCCCCCGGCUCAACUGGGGAGGGUCACGCGAUACUGUUCGACUCGAAGGCAGGAGAGGGAAGUGGAAUUCCCGGUGUAGUGGUGAAAUGCGUAGAUAUCGGGAGGAACACCAGUGGCGAAGGCGGUCUGCUGGGCAGUUUCUGACACUGAUGCGCGACAGCGUGGGGAGCAAACAGG